rnacentral:rRNA from 1 species
ACGGGGUGCAGCAGGCGCGAAAACUUCACACUGGGGGGAACCCCGAUGAGGGAAAUCCUAGUGCUAGGACAUUUGUUCUAGCUUUUCUCAAGCGUAGAUAACUUGAGGAAUAAGGGCUGGGUAAGACGGGUGCCAGCCGCCGCGGUAAUACCCGCAGCCCAAGUGGUGGUCGAUUUUAUUGAGUCUAAAACGUUCGUAGCCGGUUUGGUAAAUCUUUGGGUAAAUCGGGAGGCUCAACUUUCCGACUUCCGAAGAGACUGCCAAACUUGGGACCGGGAGAGGCUAGAGGUACUUCUGGGGUAGGGGUAAAAUCCUGUAAUCCUAGAAGGACCACCGGUGGCGAAGGCGUCUAGCUAGAACGGAUCCGACGGUGAGGGACGAAGCCCUGGGUCGCAAACGGGAUUAGAUACCCCGGUGGUCCAGGGUGUAAACGCUGCCGACUUGGUGUUGGAGGCCCUUCGGGGGCAUUCAGUGCCGGAGAGAAGUUGUUAAGUCGGCUACUUGGGGAGUACGUCCGCAAGGAUGAAACUUAAAGGAAUUGGCGGGGGAGCAC